AAAGUCGUAACAAGGUCUCCGUUGGUGAACCAGCGGAGGGAUCAUUACAGAGUUAUCUAACUCCCAAACCCAUGUGAACUUACCAUUGUUGCCUCGGCAGAACCUACCCGGUACCUACCCUGUAACGACUUACCCUGUAGCGAGUUACCCUGUAACGACCUACCCUGUAACGACUUACCCGGGAACGGCCUACCCUGUAGUGUGCUGCCGGUGGACUUCUAAACUAUUGUUAUUUUACAGUAAUCUGAGCGUCUUAUUUUAAUAAGUCAAAACUUUCAACAACGGAUCUCUUGGUUCUG
rnacentral:misc_RNA from 1 species